GCCCUCGUGGCCUAAUGGAUAAGGCAUCGGUCUCCUAAACCGAGGAUUGCGGUUUCUAAUCAGGCCGAGGGUA
rnacentral:tRNA from 1 species